GACGAACGCUGGCGGCGUGCCUAACACAUGCAAGUCGAACGAAGUGGCGAACGGGUGAGUAACGCGUAAUAAACCUGCCCUUCAGAGGGGGACAACUGGUGGAAACGACUGCUAAUACCGCAUACUGAAGGAGGGGAGGGAGUCUGAUUGGCUAGUUUGAGGGGCAACGGCCCACCAAGGCGAGGAUCAGUAGCCGGUCUGAGAGGAGGAACGGCCACAUUGGGACUGAGACCAGGCCCAGACUCCUACGGGAGGCAGCAGUGGGGAAUCUUCCGCAAUGGACGAAAGUCUGACAGAGCAACGCCGCGUGAGUGAUGACGGCCUUCGGGUUGUAAAGCUCUGUUGAUCGGGACGCGGUACCGGAAUAGAAAGCCACGGCUAACUACGUGCCAGCAGCCGCGGUAAUAC
rnacentral:rRNA from 1 species